rnacentral:lncRNA from 1 species
GCUACAUAACAAGGCUGUGGACCCUGCAUGGCUAAGCCCAUGCUGCCCUCAGCCACUCCCUCCCUGGGCAAUCAUGUAUUCUUUGCUCUAAAGCUGUCCCUUUGUUCUGUGUUAGUGUCGACAAGCCUCUGUCAAUUCAGGUUGAGAUGCUCCUUUUUCUCCCUGGGGAGGCCAUCAUCUCUUUGGGUCUCUGACCAAGUGUGUGCCUGGGAUGAAAUCCUCUCUCCCAGCAGUCCAUGAGUCUGCCUCCUACUCCUAGCCAGUCACUCCUGUGAGGGCAUCUAGCCAUCUCCAAGGCACCGAAUGCUCCUGGGAAACUCCUGGGAUCUAAGACCCUUCCUCAUCCACACCCCU